CGGUAACUUGACCGUGCAAAGGUAGCAUAAUCAUUAGUUCUUUAAUUGAGAACUGGUAUGAAUGGUCGGACAAGAGAGAGACUGUCUCUAAUAUUAAAUUGAAAUUGACUUUUAAGUGAAAAGGCUUAAAUAUAUUAGGGGGACGAUAAGACCCUAUAAAGCUUUAUACAUGAGGUUAAGUUAAUUUAAUUGAAAUAUAAAAGUUUACUUAGAAAAAUGUAUUGGGUUGGGGCGACUAAAGUAUAAUUAUUAGUAACUGAUUGAGAAGUAAUCAAUGAUAUUUGGUUAGAGCAUAAUUGAUCCUUUUUAAAGAUUAAAGAUUAAGUUACUUUAGGGAUAACAGCGUAAUUUUUUCUGAGAGUCCAUAUCGAAGAAAAAGUUUGCGACCUCGAUGUUGAAUUAAAAUGUCUUUAUAAUGCAGCAG
rnacentral:rRNA from 1 species